rnacentral:rRNA from 1 species
GACGAACGCUGGCGGCGUGCCUAAUACAUGCAAGUAGGACGCAGUUGCGAAAGGGUGAGAAACGCGUAGGUAACUGCCUAUUAGAGGGGGAUAACUAUUGGAAACGAUAGCGAAUAACGCAUACUAGUAGAUGGACCGGCGUUGUAUUAGCUAGUAGGGAGGUAAAGGGCCUACCUAGGAAACGAUACAUAGCCGACCUGGGAUGGUGAUGGGGCACACUGGGACUGAGACACGGCCCAGAAUCCUACGGGAGGCAGCAGGAGGGAAUCUUCGGCAAUGGGGGGAACCCUGACCGAGCAACGCCGCGUGAGUGAAGAAGGUUUUCGGAUCGUAAAGCUCUGUUGUUAAGGAAGCGGUACUUAACCAGAAAGGGACGGCUAACUACGUGCCAGCAGCCGCGGUAAUAC